CCUACGGGAGGCUGUAGUGGGGAAUAUUGGACAAUGGGCGAAAGCCUGAUCCAGCCAUGCCGCGUGUGUGAAGAAGGCCUUCGGGUUGUAAAGCACUUUCAGUGGGGAAGAAAGCCUUGGGCCUAAUACCCUCGAGGAAGGACAUCACCCACAGAAGAAGCACCGGCUAACUCCGUGCCAGCAGCCGCGGUAAUACGGAGGGUGCGAGCGUUAAUCGGAAUUACUGGGCGUAAAGCGCGCGUAGGCGGUCUGAUAAGCCGGUUGUGAAAGCCCCGGGCUCAACCUGGGAACGGCAUCCGGAACUGUCAGGCUAGAGUGCAGGAGAGGAAGGUAGAAUUCCCGGUGUAGCGGUGAAAUGCGUAGAGAUCGGGAGGAAUACCAGUGGCGAAGGCGGCCUUCUGGACUGACACUGACGCUGAGGUGCGAAAGCGUGGGUAGCAAACAGGAUUAGAUACCCGUGUAGUC
rnacentral:rRNA from 1 species